rnacentral:rRNA from 1 species
UUUAGCUUGCUAAAGUUGGAAGAGUUGCGAACGGGUGCGUAACGCGUAGGUAACCUACCUACUAGCGGGGGAUAACUAUCGGAAACGAUAGCUAAUACCGCAUAACAGCAUUUAACCCAUGUUAGAUGCUUGAAAGGAGCAAUUGCUUCACUAGUAGAUGGACCUGCGUUGUAUUAGCUAGUUGGUGAGGUAACGGCUCACCAAGGCGACGAUACAUAGCCGACCUGAGAGGGUGAUCGGCCACACUGGGACUGAGACACGGCCCAGACUCCUACGGGAGGCAGCAGUAGGGAAUCUUCGGCAAUGGGGGCAACCCUGACCGAGCAACGCCGCGUGAGUGAAGAAGGUUUUCGGAUCGUAAAGCUCUGUUGUAAGAGAAGAACGUGUGUGAGAGUGGAAAGUUCACACAGUGACGGUAACUUACCAGAAAGGGACGGCUAACUACGUGCCAGCAGCCGCGGUAAUACGUAGGUCCCGAGCGUUGUCCGGAUUUAUUGGGCGUAAAGCGAGCGCAGGCGGUUUAAUAAGUCUGAAGUUAAAGGCAGUGGCUUAACCAUUGUUCGCUUUGGAAACUGUUAGACUUGAGUGCAGAAGGGGAGAGUGGAAUUCCAUGUGUAGCGGUGAAAUGCGUAGAUAUAUGGAGGAACACCGGUGGCGAAAGCGGCUCUCUGGUCUGUAACUGACGCUGAGGCUCGAAAGCGUGGGGAGCAAACAGGAUUAGAUACCCUGGUAGUCCACGCCGUAAACGAUGAGUGCUAGGUGUUAGGCCCUUUCCGGGGCUUAGUGCCGCAGCUAACGCAUUAAGCACUCCACCUGG